rnacentral:misc_RNA from 1 species
UCGUAACAAGGUUUCCGUAGGUGAACCUGCGGAAGGAUCAUUACUGAGUGCGGACCCCUCGCGGGUCCAACCUCCCACCCGUGUCUCUUGAAUACCCUGUUGCUUUGGCGGGCCCACCGGGUCGCCCCGGUCGCCGGGGGGCACUGCGCCCCCGGGCCUGCGCCCGCCAGAGCGCUCUGUGAACCCUAAUGAAGAUGGGCUGUCUGAGUGUGAUUUUGAAUUAUCAAAACUUUCAACAAUGGAUCUCUUGGUUCCGGCAUCGAUGAAGAACGCAGCGAAAUGCGAUAAGUAAUGUGAAUUGCAGAAUUCCGUGAAUCAUCGAAUCUUUGAACGCACAUUGCGCCCCCUGGCAUUCCGGGGGGCAUGCCUGUCCGAGCGUCAUUUCUGCCCUCAAGCGCGGCUUGUGUGUUGGGUGUGGUCCCCCCGGUGUUGGGGGGACCUGCCCGAAAGGCAGCGGCGACGUCCCGUCUAGGUCCUCGAGCGUAUGGGGCUUUGUCACCCGCUCGGGAGGGGCCUGCGGGCGUUGGCCACCCACGAUAUUUUUUUACCGUUGACCUCGGAUCAGGUAGGAGUUACCCGCUGAACUUAAGCAUAUCAAUAA